AGGCCCUGGAUCUUGGAAUUCUGUCACUCCAGGUAACUUUCUUACUGCUGCAAUACUCAUGAUCCCUUUGGUAUUUCACUUUUUUUCCCUCCACAUUUAUGAAUUCUCAACGCAAACUUACACUGAGCUCGAAUUGAUUCAAAGAUAUGGGUUCAACGAAAAACAGACUGAAUAGAUUGAAAUUCCAGACAGACAUGUGUUUUUAUUUUUUUUAAAUGUAAACAUUUAUUGUGUUGACUUAAUCGUACAGAGUCCAUGGUACAAGAACGAGUCAGUCCCCUACAGUCAGGAUUCACAGGUCAUUUGCAAACAUGCCUAACAUAGUCUAUGAUCUUGUGGGCCAUAGUGCACUCAUGCAAACAUCUCUUUAAAAUCCAACAUUGUCAUUAAAACAUUGCACUCACCCUCAGCGUAGUGCAUGCCUCCACACACAUUGCACACAUUCCAUCUAUUGUACUCUUGCUUUCUACAUGAUGCAUCAUUCUACACACACUUCACCCUGACUGUUUACAGUUUAAACUCAUGUAGUGCACACAUGCACUCUGAUUGCACAUUCCCCACAACAAAUUGCCCAUAACCAACUACAUAUAGUGCGGUCUUGAUAACGUACAGUAUAUUUACAGGCUAUUACAUACUAUGCUCAAAGAGUACACAUUUGUUGUUCAUGUAGAGUACACAUUGUUGUAAAACCGUACAGUACAUCACACUAUCAAACACAUUUAGUAUACAGCCAUUGCAUAGUUUCUCAAAUGAAGUCUUAAACAGUGAAACAAAUAUGAAUUGCAGUUGCUCCGAAUGAUAGUCAUAUUAUUUAUUACAAAAAGUUACAAAGUAUAAAAGUUGCAUAGAGUAAAAAUGUUCACAUGAAAUCCCAAAAUAAUUGUUUGGAAAACUGUAUAUGCAACUUUCUAGUCAAUCCGUUAAUUUAAGACUCAGACAGUUAAGCAAAUUAAACAUUCCAAUGUUUAUAUUUUGAUAUUGAUACACUUCUAAAAAAUAUCUAAAAAUCCAAAUCAGUUGAGAAAAACGCUGUAAAAUCCCAACAUAUUUUGCUGUCUGGAGCAGGGCUCAGAAACGUUCCUGUAUUGCACUUUCAUUUCUAAUCUCUCACAUCACCCUACAGUAUACAACAGAUUGUCUGGGGAAAAAUCUAAACCCUCUGAGAAAUUGAAUGAUCGUCAUUAGCAAAUUCUAAAAUAUCUACUUUGUGGAUUCAUUUGCAUAGGUUUCAAAAGAUGCAUAGAAAUAAUAUACACAACAACAAAAAAUACACACAUUUUCACAUUUUGAAAAUAAUUUGAGAAAUUCUAACUAAACUAGUAUUCAUAUCCAUUAUGUAAACUAAAUAACACAUAAAUUAUCGUCCUACUCUGAUUUCUAUACUACAAUUGUUUAAAUCACUCAAUUAGCACAUUUCUAUGUUUUAUUUUAAUUAAUUGUACGUGUUCUAUCUAUACAUAAAUGAUCUGAAUACUAUGUGGGCUGUCCAAUAUAAGAUACUUAUUUACCAGUUGUAUCCUCCCCUUGAUAAUAAAAUCAGUGCUGCAGUGCGAUUCUACUACUAAACCAUACAACCUCCUCCAGUUGCAAAUAUUAUUUUUGCCAGGUAGCAUAAGCACAUGAUAAAUCCUAUGUCCGUUAACCAUAAGGAGGUUAAAAGACAUUUACUAUGAUUUGUGAUGUGUGUGCGUGUGUUGCUUACAAUCCCAGAACAGAACUUGCUCUGAGUGAGGGUGACUCAAAGUGUAUGCGCUUAGACAAACAAGCACAUAUACACAAACAAGCACAGCACACAUGAACAGAUCAGCAUGCUGACCCGUGUCGAAUGUAUUGCAGAUGUGACGGACACAGCUGUGUGUAGAGUCGUCUCAGAGAAGACAGUGUACCAUCACAACACAGAACACACACAUCUCACACCCUCCAUUUCUGUCCAUGUAUCCAGUCAGUUAGUUGUAGGAGGACAGAGACACACUAGUUCACAGUGGUCCAUUUCAACUUGUCCUUUGAUUGGUGUAUCCAAAGACGGUCUGGGGAUGAAGCCCACAGAGGCAGCUGUGGUUGGGUAUCCACUGGUAUCCAUGACCCAACAGUACAUUACCCCAUUUUCAGUUUGUCAGGCAUGUCCAGGCAUGUGCCUAAAGUUCACCCCAACCAAAAGGAGAUCGUUCAACGUCCACAAAGGGCUUCAGGUUUAAAUACUGGGGCAGAGAAAAAUGGAAGAGGAGCCAAUCCGGUUCCAUUUAGGUCAGGUGGGCACCACUACGUUCGGAAAUGGACCUCACCAUUGGUGAGGUGGGGUGGCCGUCGGAAGGUGGUGGACUGGCUGUGACAUAACUUCAAUGUGAUGGGUCACCUAGGGGGAUUGAAGAAGGGCAGAGGUUAAAAAGGGCUCAUUUUCAUGGGUAUAACAGGCAAGCUUGCAGUAGUAGGGCGAAGCAGAGGGGGAUUUUGGUUAGAAUGGGAUUCAAUUUGAGUCAAGAAUUUGCUCCUUUUCAUGGAGCCCUGUGUGAGUGGAUCUACACUACAAGGAUUGCAAUGCAUACUUGCACACUCAUCUUCUGCACAUCUAUCACUUCAGUGUUUAAUUGCUAUAUUGUAAUUAUUUUGCCACUAUGGCCUAUUUAUUGCCUUACCUCCCUUAUCCUACCUCAUUUGCACACACGGUAUAUAGACUUUUUCUAUUGUAUUAUUCACUGUAUGUUUGUUUAUUCCAUGUGUAACUCUGUGCUGUUGUUUGUGUCACACUGCUUUGCUUUAUCUUGGCCAGGUCGCAGUUGUAAAUGAGAGCAUGUUCUCAACUAGCCUACCUGGUGAAAUAAAGGUGAAAUAAAAAAUAGAUAUAUGGUGCCAACUCCACCUAGCCAUCUGGUAUAGCUUAGGUGGAGCAUCCGCCACUAUUACAUCACUUACGUAGGCCUACAUGAACCCAGUCCUUUCAGGUCUCCUAAGACAACUCGUCAAGGGCCUAGAGAAGGGAGGAUUGGUAUUGGAUUGGAAUGGGGCCAGGGCUAAAGUUCUACCAACCUUAGAAAUGGGUCAUGUGAAGAGACUCAAACACCAGGAGGAUUUGGAGAUGACAAAAAAACCUAAAAUACAUUAAAAUACAUUACUCAUCCCAAGCCCUGUGGCAAUAUUAGAUAUAGAUAGCUAUAGGAUUCUCUGAAGUGGUAUAUACAUCUCUAUGCAUGUGUCUUAACAUUAAAUAUGUCAUAUAGUACAGCUGCCAUUUAUGUUGAGAUAUAUUUAAUAUUCUGACUUGAUACACUUGUCCUCAGCUGGACACCCAUCCUCACACACACAGACCUAGCUAGACAGGUCUGCAAUAUGCCUUUACCCCCCCCCCCAUUGAGACACACAUGUCUAGUAACUACAGUCCAGACACAAGCUGCACCACCCCACCCCACCCCAUACCAACAGACACACACCCAGUUACUUCCCCCCUCCACCUCCCUCCCAUCCUCAUCCAUUCCCAACACAUUCUCAGUCUCCAUCGCCACACCACUGUCAUUGUCUGAGCCCCUUAGUGUUUUCCCACGCUUUAUUUGUCUAUGUCCUGUUUGCGGCUGGCGGGGGGCCCUGAUGAGGUCGCCAUGGCAACUAACAUUUGCAUGCCCCUGAUUGGAGUACACGGCGAGCUAAUUAUUCAGUGCAUACGCUUUAAAUAAACAAUAAAGUAGGACGUAUGGAAAUGUGGACCCCAGUAUUAGACAGGCUGUGAUUAACACUAAGCUGAAACGCCAACAAAACAUUUCAGGGAAUACUGUUUCAGUUGGACGACCUAAUUCUCUUACUUCGUCAUCCAAAUAUUUAAAAAGGAUUUAUAAUGUAACAUUAACGUUGUAACAUAUUAAUACAAUAAAAAUAUCAUUCUUAUUACAAGUCCAACUUUAAUUGUAUUUCUUUGAUUCUAUCUUGUUUGUAUUCAAACAAAUCAGAAUGUUGAUAUUUAGCAUUAUGAAGGGAUAAUAUGACGUGUGUGUGUGUGUGUGUGUGUGUGUGUGUGUGUGUGUGUGUGUGUGUGUGUGUGUGUGUGUGUGUGUGUGUGUGUGUGUGUGUGUGUGUGUGUGUGUGUGUGUGUGUGUGUGUGUGUGUGUGUGUCUAGUCUACUUGAAAGCCAACUUGACAGCAAGGGAAAACUCUGUUCCUCAACUUCAGUUCUUCAACUCCAGUUCCUAAACUAGAGAUUCAUGUGACGAGGAGAGGGUGAAGAACUGGCUACACAAGAGCACCAUGUUAAUCUAUGGCUUCUAAGCACUCCUAUGGCAAACAAAGGUGGUGGGGGGGGGGUUACCAUGACAAUGGGCGGCAUUGUUUGCCAAUCCUCCCCUUCCAUUAAUCAGGGCGAGCCGGGUCUAAUUGGCGUUUUGGUUAAGCCGGUCUCCAGACCCCUAUCCCUCCACUGGCCUAAAUAAUGGCGUUAUGCCACAAGUGCCGCCGCACCAACGGAGGACAAUGCUCUGCUUGUUGGCUGCGCUGAGCAAGGCUGAACCGCCCCACCCCCCCUCUCCCAAAAUAAACCUCACACGGAAACACAAAGAAAGCCACUCACUAUUGAGACUUCACUGUCUCCCCUCUCUCCUCAUCGGUCUCCCCUUCCUUCCUCUUUCCUUCUCUCUUUCCCUCUCUCUCUCUCUCUCUCCCCUCUCUCAUUCACUCUGCUCUCUUACGGAGCCCCCUCUUGCUCAUUUCUCUUUCUGUGUGCUCCACUUCUCUCCUCCCAAGUUGGCCCCUUGAGUUUCCAUGGACUUGGACAGAGUGAUCAACACUACUAGAAGUGUUAAUUGUCUUACCAGACGUUGGAAAACAUCUCGUCAGUGUGUGUGACUUUAUUUCCCGCUUCGACCGGUUUCCUCUAAACUCAUAUUGUAGUUAUUCUCGGGAUUAAACCAAUUCUGUCACCUGACAACAUGAAAUACUUGCUAGUGAAAGGGGUGUUACUGUACUUUUCCCGAAAUCUUUUUUUUUUUUUUCAAUAGCACAUUGAUUGAAGUUCAGUUGAAAUAAGAACUGUCCAUGCAUCAACUGUCAGUGGAUCAAAUGUCCAAUAACUCUGUGUUCAAAAUAUAGUUGUAUGUAUAUUUCUGAGUGUAUUAAGGCAUGUGCUCAAGAUUUUGGAGUUAAUAUUCUGUGUGAGGGUAUUGUAGACAGUGUGUGUGUGUGUGUGUGUGUGUGUGUGUGUGUGUAUAGCAGGUUAUCUUUCACAUGAUCUAACCAUCCUCAUCUACAUGCCCCAUGAAUAUAGAACGCUUGCAUGCCCCAUAUGCAAAUAGACCCACCGUGUUAAGUCAUUAAUAUGCACUCCUAAUUAAAACACCCUCAAUUGAUUGAAUUAAUGUCGCCGAAAUAAGUCAGGUAAAAUAAAUUCCUCUUCGCAAGCGGUUCUGAAUUCACAAAAUGGCUGAACGGCGCCAUUUGCAGCCUCAUCGCAAAGAAGGGCACAACGAACACUGCAUGAGAAUGAGGAAGACCACAGCUGCCCCUCAGAAUGCCAGCUUAAAAGACAUUCAAAAAAUCGAGUGGCUUCGUGAUUAACUCAAAUCACAUCCCCUCCUCCCAUGUCCCUCGGUGCGAUCUAUGCAAUUAACACACUGCCAGUAAUUAACGCCGUCUCGAGGCAGCCAAUGGCGCGGGAAGGCGAGGGGGGGCCAAAGCGCGAUGGGUGGAAGGCUCAGGGUUAGGAAUAGGACGCUAAAAUAACACUACCUAUGUUAUUUUUACUUACUGCCAUUUUGUGCCAGUCCUAGUCCUAUUCUAAGAUGGUGGCAGCAGGGCUGUGACUCGUUGUGCAGGAGAAGGGGGCAAACUAGGGAGGGAGGGAGAGGAGGGAGAGAGUGAAGGAUGCUGGGAUAGAGAAGUGAAUCUCUUUCAUUUAGUCAGUGCAUUACAGAAUGGUUACCAGGACAGGAAGAUAGGGGGAUGGGAGGGAUAGAGGAAGGGAGAUGAUUGUCAGGUCUACUGGCCAAUGAGUGGGACAUGCCUGCAUGUCUUUCUCAGGUUCACGCACAUGCACUCACACACACAAACAUCCAUACACUGACACAUAUCGCGCAUGCUUAAAGAAUUACUACAGUAUUCAUAUUUGGAGGAGAUGUAUAUGUCAAAACGUGCACAAAAAACUAGAUAAACCUUUGAUAUACACACUAUGGAUGAACAACAAGAUGACCUGACUAUUUUUGCUAUAUAUUCCCCCACACACACACACACACACACACACACACACACACAAGCAGCCAACAUACCCGUCCUCAUGGUAUAGUCUGCCCCUGAGCAUGCAAAUUACAUUCAUUAUGCAAAUACAUGCAAAUCAGAACCAACCAUCUGAGAAUCCAGGCUGGGAAAAAACGAGGAGAAUGAAAUGAAAUGAAUGACAGAGAGAGAGAGUGAGAAAGAAAUCAGAAACGUGGGAUAAAAAUCCUCUUUCACUGCAGGCGGCAGUGUGGAAGGAAAAAGUACGGUGGCCCAUACUAGAGCAAAAAGACUGCCGCAGAUCUUUUGUCGAAUCAAUAAACAAUCGCUAUGGCUGAUUGCUAUUUCCAUGUUAGAAUCUCCGUCUUAAACCUACAGCUAGCUGUUCAAUUGGGAUUACAGUACAGAACAGUGGCAAGUAUUUCAAAAAGCUCACCAAACAUCAAGUCUAAUGAAUAGGGAAACUCAAUCAGCUAACAAAUUCUAUCUUUAAUUGACACCAAUGUAUACAAAAAGGGAACAGAGAUGCGAGACGGCUACAAGUACUGCAAAGACUGAGUGUACUAACAGGUCCAGUGACAGUCACUUUUUCUACAGAUCAUUUACACAAUACCCCCAUCUAUGUGGACAAUUUAUGCUACAAUACUUAGCAGUGUCCAGCUACGGCUAGCACUAUAAAUAAUCAAAUAACUGCAAAUCAGUUGUGUUUUAUCUGCAAACCAAAUACUUUGAAGCUUGAUUAGCACAGCGUACAGUUUAUCUGAGCAGAGCAGAGGGACGUUGUGGGUUGGGCUCUUGAGCAAUACGCAUUUGCUUUGUGCCUCUGACUCGCUGGGGCCACUUCAGUUUCGUAAAAGCAGGCCACAUUUAUAACGCAAUGGCAUUAAAGUCAACAAAACGACUAAUUUAUAAUACAUCACCCUCAGAUUUGACCAGAAUUAAAACGAUAUAUUCUAACAGUUUGAAACACCAGAGAAACAACUAAAUGGAACUAGCCUCACCACACAAAAUAAUCAGACCAGUGAAAAUAGAAUUAACCUAUAUCGACUAAUCAGCUAAUAAAACUAACAAAAAAAAUCACCGAACAAAUAGACGGACACAUUUUUUCCCCGAGUGAACGGCAAGUAAAUCAGCAAACACUGUACACUUUGUACAGGAGGAAAAACCACAGGGCUGGAGGAGAAAAGCUAAGCUGCCUCACUGCCUCUGCUUAGAGCAAAACCGUGAGAUAAGUUCUGGAUUUUUAGUCAAAGCAUGUAAGAUGGACGCCUCUUUGUGAACAAGAGUGUGGUAGGUGAGAGACAGGGAAAGAGGAGCAGGGUAGAGUAUGUUUUUAGAGAGGGGGGUGCCGCAUGGGUACCUGAAUGGCGCCACUAAUUGCCACUUGAGGUGGUACCUGCCGUCUAAGGGCCCUCGGCCCGAGCUUGAAAAGUACAGUAUGCAAAACAAGCAGCCGUUCUGGAGACCCUGACAUUAGUGACGCAGGCCGAUAUGAAGAUGCUUGGAUUAUAUGUGUACGGUAUGCUUUCUGUGUGAAUACCACAGAAUGGGGUGUGUGUUUGCGUGGAAGUAUGUCCGUAUGUCCGCAGAAAUCCAUCUACACAUGUACUGUAUGUCUACCCAUUCUACUGGAUCCACUUCUUGCUUCCUAAAUCUUUAAGCGGUGCGGGUGGCAUACAGAGACAGAGAGGGGGAGACAGAGAGGGGGAGACAGAGAGAGAGAGAGAGAGGAGGAGGCAGAAAGAAAGAGGGGGAGGCAGAGAGAGUAGCGAGGGAGAAAGAGUGAGAGCCAGAAUCAGAGAGAGAAGAAAAAAACGUCUGUCAGGAGGCCAAGCUCUGGCUAAAUGAUUGUGCUGCAGGAGUGUGUGUGUGUGUGUGUGUGUGUGUGUGUGUGUGUGUGUGUGUGUGUGUGUGUGUGUGUGUGUGUGUGUGUGUGUGCUGUGCAUGGUUGAGAGGAGUCAUUGGUGUAUGGCAAAAAUGCUUGUAUUUUUUUUUUUUACUUGAAUCGCUAACUUACUGGCUAGUUCGGCCAGUGAACGGUAAGACAUUUGGACCCUCUUUUGCUUGUAGAUGGAGGAGAAAAGUCUGAGGGAGGUCUUUGUGCAGGAGUGAUGUCUUUUACUCUAUCACUGCAGUAGAGAAACAGCUAGGUAUCUUGCGCGCUUUCUCUCUGUCUCGCUCUCCUUGCUUUAUUUGUCAGUGUUGACAAUACUGAUGGUCAUCCAAUUAUCACCGUUACUCGUACAGCUACACCUUUCAUAAAGUUGCGCCAUGAACUGCUUACCUAUGUUUCAUGCUGUAUAUCAUACCAUAAUGGCUUGCCUCUUCGGCCAACUCGAAGCCUCAUUAACUUAAAUCCACAAGAAUACACACCGGCAAAGGAUAUCAAUGAGCCUAAAACAAUCAUCCCUAAACUAGUUGUGAAAGCUAUACACCUAAACACACCAUGUAGAAAAUAGAAAAUGUAUCCUAUGCACAGUCCCCUUAUUUGGGCCAUAUGUUUUUCAACAAAAAACUCUUUUUUUUUUUUAAAGGGGGUGAGUCUGCUGCUAACAGCUUACAGUAGCUUCCUCCACUGUCCGACUGCCCCAUACUGGGCUUGAACCAGUGAUUCUCUGCUUCGCAACACACGCGACCGCCCUCUUUGACGCCAUGCGAACCGAUUAAGCAGUACAAGAGAACCCUCUUGGAUGGCUCCGUCAGCGACAUUUCAAGCUUGCUGUGGAGUGAGUUUACGGUACGCUCUUAACUCCGAUACACAUAUGUCCCCCAAAAUGUACAACACAUGCUCAUGUGAGCUUACCUUAGUGACAAUUGAGUCUGACAUUAUACUGUACCUUUAAGUCUUCUGAUUGGUCGGCUGGGCACAAACGACAGUUACUUCCUCGCGAGCGUCGCCCAUUUCGUGUUUUUUUGGUUGGCACAAGAGACCGGCCGCGCAGGAGCGUAAUGG
rnacentral:lncRNA from 1 species